rnacentral:rRNA from 1 species
AUUGAACGCUGGCGGCAUGCCUUACACAUGCAAGUCGAACGGCAGCACGGGAGCAAUCCUGGUGGCGAGUGGCGAACGGGUGAGUAAUAUAUCGGAACGUGCCCAGUCGUGGGGGAUAACGUAGCGAAAGCUACGCUAAUACCGCAUACGAUCUAAGGAUGAAANCGGGGGAUUCGCAAGAACCUCGCGCGAUUGGAGCGGCUGAUAUCAGAUUAGGUAGUUGGUGAGGUAAAGGCUCACCAAGCCGACGAUCUGUAGCUGGUCUGAGAGGACGACCAGCCACACUGGGACUGAGACACGGCCCAGACUCCUACGGGAGGCAGCAGUGGGGAAUUUUGGACAAUGGGCGCAAGCCUGAUCCAGCAAUGCCGCGUGCAGGAUGAAGGCCUUCGGGUUGUAAACUGCUUUGUACGGAACGAAACGGUGAGCUCUAAUACAGUUUGCUAAUGACGGUACCGUAAGAAUAAGCACCGGCUAACUACGUG